CCGGUACAGAGUCAAUGUGGAGGCUAUAUACAGGGGGUACCGGUACAGAGUCAAUGUGGAGGCUAUAUACAGGGGAUACCGGUACAGAGUCAAUGUGGAGGCUAUAUACAGGGGGGUACUGGUACAGAGUCAAUGUGGAGGCUAUAUACAGGGGGUACUGGUACAGAGUCAAUGUGGAGGCUAUAUACAGGGUAUUACGGUACAGAGUCAAUGUGGAGGCUAUAUACAGGGUGUUAUGGUACAGAGUCAAUGUGGAGGCUAUAUACAGGGGAGUACCGGUACAGAGUCAAUGUGGAGGCUAUAUACAGGGGGUUACCGGUACAGAGUCAAUGUGGAGGCUAUAUACAGGGGGGUACCGGUACAGAGUCAAUGUGGAGGCUAUAUACAGGGGGUACCGGUACAGAGUCAAUGUGGAGACUAUAUACAGGGGAUACCGGUACAGAGUCAAUGUGGAGGCUAUAUACAGGGGGUACCGGUACAGAGUCAAUGUGGAGGCUAUAUACAGGGUAUUAUGGUACAGAGUCAAUGUGGAGGCUAUAUACAGGGUGUUAUGGUACAGAGUCAAUGUGGAGG
ensembl:lncRNA